UACGGGGGGGGGCAAGCGUUGUUCGGAAUUACUGGGCGUAAAGGGCUCGUAGGCGGCCAACUAAGUCAGACGUGAAAUCCCUCGGCUUAACCGGGGAACUGCGUCUGAUACUGGAUGGCUUGAGAUUGGGAGAGGGAUGCGGAAUUCCAGGUGUAGCGGUGAAAUGCGUAGAUAUCUGGAGGAACACCGGUGGCGAAGGCGGCUUUCUGGACAAAUACCGACGCUGAGGCACGAAAGCUAGGGGAGCAAACAGG
rnacentral:rRNA from 1 species